UACGAAGGGGGCUAGCGUUGUUCGGAAUUACUGGGCGUAAAGCGCGCGUAGGCGGCUCACCAAGUCGGGCGUGAAAGCCCCGGGCUCAACCCGGGAAAUGCGCUCGAAACUUGUGAGCUGGAGGCCGGAAGAGGGUAGUGGAAUUCCCAGUGUAGUGGUGAAAUUCGUAGAUAUUGGGAAGAACACCAGUGGCGAAGGCGGCUACCUGGUCCGGAUCUGACGCUGAGGCGCGAAAGCGUGGGGAGCAAACAGG
rnacentral:rRNA from 1 species